rnacentral:misc_RNA from 1 species
UCGCCCUCAAGUCUCCUUCUUCUCCUCCUUCUUUCCUCUUCCUCUUCGCUCUAUUCCAAACCCAUCUCUUACAAAUCGACUCUAGUUCCUCUUGUCUCUUGACUCUUGUCCUCGUCCUUGGCUCCUUGCACCUCGCCGUCGUUAACCCAAUUCCAUCCCUUUCUCUCUAGCCUCUUCAACCACUCAAAUGGCCAAACCUAGAUGCUGGUUCCUGCAUUCAUUGGUUGUUGCUUGUAAGUUGUUUUGAUGAUUGAGGCAUGGGUUCUUGAAAUCUCGGCUUCUCUUCCAUGUACAUCAGCA